UGGCUCAGUUGGUAGAGCAUGGUGUUUUCAACACCAGGGUUGUGGGUUCAUUUCCCAC
rnacentral:tRNA from 1 species